GCAAGUCGAACGGCAGCACGGGUGCUUGCACCUGGUGGCGAGUGGCGAACGGGUGAGUAAUACAUCGGAACAUGUCCUGUAGUGGGGGAUAGCCCGGCGAAAGCCGGAUUAAUACCGCAUACGAUCUACGGAUGAAAGCGGGGGACCUUCGGGCCUCGCGCUAUAGGGUUGGCCGAUGGCUGAUUAGCUAGUUGGUGGGGUAAAGGCCUACCAAGGCGACGAUCAGUAGCUGGUCUGAGAGGACGACCAGCCACACUGGGACUGAGACACGGCCCAGACUCCUACGGGAGGCAGCAGUGGGGAAUUUUGGACAAUGGGCGAAAGCCUGAUCCAGCAAUGCCGCGUGUGUGAAGAAGGCCUUCGGGUUGUAAAGCACUUUUGUCCGGAAAGAAAUCCUUGAUUCUAAUACAGUCGGGGGAUGACGGUACCGGAAGAAUAAGCACCGGCUAACUACGUGCCAGCAGCCGCGGUAAUACGUAGGGUGCGAGCGUUAAUCGGAAUUACUGGGCGUAAAGCGUGCGCAGGCGGUUUGCUAAGACCGAUGUGAAAUCCCCGGGCUCAACCUGGGAACUGCAUUGGUGACUGGCAGGCUAGAGUAUGGCAGAGGGGGGUAGAAUUC
rnacentral:rRNA from 1 species